rnacentral:rRNA from 1 species
CCUACGGGAGGCAGCAGUGGGGGAUAUUGCACAAUGGGGGGAACCCUGAUGCAGCGACGCCGCGUGGGUGAAGGAGCGUUUCGGCGCGUAAAGCCCUAUCGGCAGGGAAGUAGAUGACGGUACCUGGCCAAGAAGCCCCGGCUAACUACGUGCCAGCAGCCGCGGUAAUACGUAGGGGGCAAGCGUUAUCCGGAUUUACUGGGUGUAAAGGGGGCGCAGACGGCAAUGCAAGCCAGGAGUGAAAGCCCGGGGCCCAACCCCGGGAUUGCAAUUGGAACUGCAUGGCUGGAGUACAUGAGGGGCAGGCGGAAUUCCUAGUGUAGCGGUGAAAUGCGUAGAUAUUAGGAGGAACACCGGUGGCGAAGGCGGCCUGCUGGACUGUGACUGACGUUGAGGCCCGAAGGCGUGGGGAGCAAACAGGAUUAGAUACCCCAGUAGUC